GGGGCCAUGCAUCAGAGCCGAGCAAAGAAGCUUCCGGACUGCCUCCCUCUCGCCUGUGAAAUACAGCCUGGGGUUCAAACGCUGGAAUUAAGGGAUUUUAAUUAAAGCUGGAGAAGUUUACCACCUGGUUUUGCUCAUUGCUAAUGCACACUCCACUCAGGAAAGCCCUCCGUGGUUCAUUUAAUGGGCCGUUCUCAAACAAACAGCAGCUACAGUUAUUAGCUCCUACAAGGAAUCCAGCAGCUUACAGAGUCCAUCUGGAUAAUUCAUAAAAAGGGAACUGUGUCUGUCCAGAGUCCAGAAAAGAGAGGAAGACAGAGGGAGAGCGAGAGAGACCAAUCCUCCUCCUGGGGCUAGUGGCCAUGCUGUAAUAAUGAGCCCUGGAGAGCAAGAGAGUCUGUGCCACAAACCAGCCAUGCCCACAGGUGGAGGCUGCAGCGAGAGGCACCAGAGGUUGUCGGUGUAUCGGAGGGGAACGAUAAAGAUGCGGCACAAUCAUCUGAGAGUGCACUUAACUAAAACUAAUCGAUUAGAGAGACCUCAAUACACGGGCAUCACAGAGUCCAUCUGUCAAAUCACAUCAGCCCCCCACACUGAUCCCAUCCGCAUCACCACUUAUCACAAGAUACCUGUGUGUGUGUGUGUGUGCGUGUGUGUGUGUGCAGGGAAAGACCUUUUGAUAUGGCUCACCAGGACACUUCAUUAAGAUCUGACAGCCUGGUUUAACGCAUUGCUUUCUGAGAGGCAGAUUUUCAGGUUGACACACACACAAACACACACACGCACGCAGUUACAAUAUAGUGUUAUUUUAAUAACA